GGCAUUAAUGGCACCAGUAAAGCACAGAAAGGUGACUUGUGAGUAAAUAAGUUAUUACAUGCCUAGAAGAGGGGGAGACACUAUAAAUAUCAAAGGACAGAUGGCUUCUCAAAUUCUGCAUCCAG